UACUAAAAUGUAUGUUGACAUAAAAAGCAGCAUUGCUUUAACAGUCAGCUGCAGUAAAAAAAUCCCACAGGUUUCUUUCUUUUUACAAGUCAAAAGUUUGGGACAUAACUUAUCCAGACCUGCCCUCCCAAAGGAAAAUCCCUGCCCUGCUGACAGCAUCCUUGCGCAGUUAAAACCCAGGGACAGUUUUGCAGAUAAAAGCCCUCUUCAGAGUAUUUAGUCUGGUGGCCUUUACCCAGGAAAGUCUCCUGGAAUUAGCCUGGCAUUUGAGAAGGCAGAUGCAGUGAGACAGACUGGCUGUGGCACACCCAGGGACUCCGAACCAGCGCAGCACCCGGCACAUCCCAGGUCGGGGAUGAGCACGGCACAUCUGCCAUCUGCUGGCACCUGAGCUGCCCCCAGAGCCCCUGAAAGACAGAGCUGAGGGGCAGCAGAGAACGAGUCUGUAGUAUGGAAGCUGCUGGACAAACUUCUCAGCUGAAAAUAAAGGAGGA
rnacentral:lncRNA from 1 species